GAUCCUGGAGAAGCCAGCAGGAACCCCAGGGAGAGUUCCCUUUUCUUCAUGCAAGACAGGGUGCCCUGGAAUGGGUUCGACCCCCAGAGAGGGGCUAGUGCCUUGGAAAG
rnacentral:rRNA from 1 species